rnacentral:rRNA from 1 species
GACGAACCGAGCGAACGUUGUUCGGAAUCACUGGGCUUAAAGGGCGCGUAGGCGGGCGGUUAAGUCUGCGGUGAAAUCCUCCAGCUCAACUGGAGAACUGCCGUGGAUACUGGCUGUCUCGAGGAAGGUAGGGGCGUGUGGAACUAUCGGUGGAGCGGUGAAAUGCGUUGAUAUCGAUAGGAACUCCGGUGGCGAAGGCGACACGCUGGACCUUUUCUGACGCUGAGGCGCGAAAGCCAGGGGAGCAAAGCGGG